rnacentral:lncRNA from 1 species
AAGACACAGUCAGCUGUUGGGGAUCAGAGGCGACACUCAUUGUAGCAGAGAGGCAGGACCAACUGGGAGAGGGUCCUUCUGUGACAACUAUUGCAUCACCGGGCUGUGUGAAGUGACUCAGCUGCCAGAACUCACACAAUAUCAUUCUACACCAAACCUCACGGGAAAAAUGCUCCACGACCCUCAGACUUAAACAGCAGCACUGGCUCCUCCCCAGAUCUCCAGCUCCCUGACCCUCAAACUCCAACUCCAACACCAGCUCUGCCCCAGGUCUCCAGCUCCACAAUCCUCAAACUACAACAGCAGCACCAGCUCCCCUGGGGAUCUCCAGCUCAAUGACUCUCAGACUUGGGAGGCAGCUCCAGCUCCCACCAAGCCUCCAGCUCCACAACCUUCAAACUAGAACAGCAGCACCAGCUACUCCCUGGGUCUCCAGCUCCCUCAAAAUUCAACUAUAGCACUGGCUGUUCCCCAGCGCCACCAGCUCCACAACCCUCAACUUACACGGUGGUAGCACCAGCUCCUCCCUAGGUCUCCAGCUACACGACCGUCAAACUUGAACUGCAACACCAGCUCCUCUUCGGCCUCCAGCUCCACAAUCCUCCAACAACAACAGCAACACCGGCUCCUCCCUGAAUCUCCAGCUCAACAACCCUCAGACUUGAGAGGCAGCACCGGCACCUCCCCAAGGCUCCAGCUCCAUGACCCUCAGAUUUGAACAGCGGUAGCACCAGCUCCUGUCCAGGUCUCCAGCUUCAUGAUCCUUAAACUAGAACAGCAGCACCACCACCUCCCUAGGUUUCCAGCUCCACGACCCUAAGACAUGAAUGGCAGGACCGGGUUCCCCGCUAGGGCUCCAGCUCCAAGACCCACAGAUAUAAACGGCAGCACCGGCUCUUCCUGGGAUCUCCAGCUCCACAGCCUUCAAACACGAUCAGCAGCACCAGCUCCCCUCUGGUUCUCCAGCUCCACAAUCCUCAGACAUGAACAGCAGCACAGGCUCCUCCUUGGGUCUCCAGCUUCUCUACCCUCAGACUAGAACAGCAACACUUGUUCCUCCCUGGGUCUCCAGCUCUUACAAGUCUCAGACUUGAAAGGCAGCACUGGCUCCUCAGAAAGUUUCUGGCUCCAAGCUGGUGCUGCUGUCCUAGUUUGAAGGUCAUGGAGCUGGAGACCCGGGGAGGAACCAUUUGAACAGCAGCACUGGCCCCUCCCCGGGUCUCAGGCUCCACGACCCUCAGACUUAAAAAGCCGUAGUACGGGCUUCUCCCUGGGUCUCCAUCUCUACAACCCUCAGACAUGAACAGCAGCAGCACCGCCCCCUCCCCCUGUCUCCAGUUCCACGAACCUCAAACUACAACAGCAGUACCGGCCUCUCCCCAGGUCUCCAGAUCCACGACCCUCAAAAUAGAAUGGCAUCACCGGCUCCUCCCUGGGUCUCCAGCUCCCAAACUCUCAAACUUCAAUUGACACACCGGACCCUCCCCACAGUUAAACAGCAGCACGGGCUGUUCCCCAAAGCUCCAGAUCCACGACCCUCUGACUUAAAGGGCGAUAGCACCAACUCCUCCCUAAGUCUCCAGUUCCACGACCCUCAAACUACACAGCAGCACCGGCUCCUCCUUGGGUCUCCAGCUUCACUACACUCAGACUAGAAUAGCAACACCGGUUCCUCCCUGGAACUCCAGCUCAAUGACUCUCAGACUUGAAAGGCAGCACCAGCUCCUCAAAAAGGUUCUGGCUCCAAGACCCUCGAACUAGAAUAGCAGCAGCUGCUGCAUCUUGGGUCUCCAGCUCCACAACCCUCAAAGUAGAAAAGCAGCCCUGGCUCCUCCCCGAGUCUCCAACUCCUCAAGUCUGAGGGUUGUAGAGCUGGAGACCCGGGGAGGAGUCAGUGCUGCUGUUCUAGUUUGAGGGUCAUGGAUCUGGAGACCCAGGGUGGAGCCGGUGCUGCUGUUCUAGUGUGAGGGUCAUGGAGCUGGAAGACCCCGGGAGGAGCUGCUGCUGCUGUUCUAGUGUGAGGGUCAUGGAGCUGGAAGACCCCGGGAGGAGCUGCUGCUGCUGUCCUAGUUUGAAGGUCAUGGAGCUGGAGACCCCGGAAUGAGCCAUUUGAACAGCAGCACUGGCCCCUCCCCAGGUCUCAGGCUCCACGACCCUCAGACUUAAAAAGCCGUAGUACGGGCUUCUCCCUGGGUCUCCAGCUCUACAACCCUCAGACAUGAACAGCAGCACCGGCUCCUCCCCCUGUCUCCAGUUCCACGAACCUCAAACUACAACAGCAGUACCGGCCUCUCCCCAGGUCUCCAGAUCCAUGACCCUCAAAAUAGAAUGGCAUCAUCAGCUCCUCCCUGGGUCUCCAGCUCCCAAACCCUCAAACUUCAACUAACACAGCAGAUCCUCCCCACAGUUAAACAGCAGCACGGGCUGUUCCCCAAAGCUCCAGAUACACGACCCUCAGUAGCACUGGCUCCUCCCAAGGUCUCCAGUUCCAUGACCCUCAAACUACACAGCAGCACCGGCUCCUCCCCAGGUCUAUAGCUCCACCACCCUCACACUAGACAUCAAGACUACCUCCUUCCCGCUCUCCAGCUACACGACCCUCAAACUUGAACAGCAGCAGCAGCUCCUCCCUAGAUUUCCAGCUCCAUGACCCUAAACCUGCAACAGCAGCACCAGCUCCUCCCUGUACCUCAAGCCCCAUGACCCUCUGACUUGAUCAACAGCAACAGCAGCUCCCUCCCUGGUCUCCAGCUCCACAACCUUCAGCCUUAAACAGCAGCAGCACCAGCUCCUCCCUGGGUCUCCAGCUCCACAACCCUCAGACUAGAACCGCACCCCUCCUCCCUGAGUCUCCAGCUCCAUGACCGUCAAACUACAACAGCAACACAGGUUCCUGUCUGGAUCUCCAGCUCAGCAACUCUCAGAUGAGGCAGCACCGGCAACUCACCAAGGCUCCAGCUCCACAACCCUCAGAUUUGAAUAAUGGUAGCACCAGCUCCUGUCCAGAUCUCCAGCUUCAUGAUCCUUAAACUAGAACAGCAGCACCGCUGCCUCCCUGGGUUUCCAGCUCCACGACCCUAAGACAUGAAUGGCAGAACCGGCUUCCCACAAGGGUUCCAGCUCCAGGACCCACAGAUUUAAAUGGCAGCACUGGCUCUUCCCAGGAUUUCCAGCUCCACUACCCUCAAACUAGAAGAGGAGCACCGGCUCCUCCCUGGGUCUCCAGCUCCCAAACCCUCAGACAUCACCUGACACACUGGAUCCUCCCCACAGUUACAUAGCAGCACGGGCUGUCCCCGAAAACUCGAGAUCCACAACCCUCUGACUUCAAUGGCGGUAGUACUGGUUCCUCCCUAGGUCUCCAGUUCCAUGACCCUCAAACUACACAGCAGCACCAGCUCCUCCCCAGGUCUACAGCUCCACCACCCUCACACUAGACACCAGGACUACCUCCUCCCCGCUCUCCAGCUACACGACCCGCAGAUUUGAACAGCAGCAGCGUCUCCUCCCUGUACCUCAAGCCCCAUAACCCUCAUAUAUGAACAACAGCAAUACCAGCUAAUGCCUAGGGCUCCAGCUCCAGGAUCCACAGAUUUAAACUGCAGCACCAGCUCGUCCAAGGAUCUCCAGCUCCACCACCCUCAGACUAGAACAAGACCUCUACUCCCUGGGUCGCGAGCUUCCGGACCCUCGAACUAUGAAAACAUUGCUCCUCCCUGGGUCCGCAGCUCCACGACCCUCAAACCAGAUCAAGAUCUCUCCUCCCUGUGUCGUCAGCUUCCUGACCCUUGAACUAUGACAACAUUGCUCCUCCCUGGGUCAGCAGCUCCACAACCCUCAAACCAGAUCAAGAUCUCUCCUCCCUGGGUCGCCAGCUUCCUGACCCUCGAACAACAGAAACAUUACUCCUCCCUGGGUCAGCAGCUCCAUGAUCCUCAAACUAGAAUGAGACCUCUCCUCCCUGCGUCGCCAGCUUCUGGACCCUUGAACUAUGAAAAUAUUGCUCCUCCCUGGGUCGGGAGCUCCAUGACCCUCAAACUAGAACAAGACCUCUCCUCCCUAGGUCUGCAGCUUCCAGUCCCUCAAAUAACAACAUUGCUCCUCCCUGGAUCUGCAGCUCCACGACCCUCAGACUAGAACACGAUCUGUCCUCCCUGGGUCACCAGCUUCCGAACCUUCGAACUAAAACAACAUUGCUCCUCCCUGGGUCUGCAGCUCCACGACCCUCAAACUAGAAAAAGACCUCUCCUCACUGUGUCGCCAGCUUCUGGACCCUCGAACUACAAAAACAUUGCUCCUGCCUGGGUCUGCAGCUCCACGACCCUCAAUCCAGAUCAAGAUCUCUCCUCCCUGUGUCAUCAGCUUCCUGACCCUCGAACUAUGACAGCAUUGCUCCUCCCUGGGCGCACCCUCAAACUAGAACAAGACCUCUCCACCCUGCGUCGCCAGUUUCCGGAGCCUCAAACUAAAACAACCUUGCUCCUCCCUGGGUCUGCAGCUCCACAACCCUCAAACUAGAACCAGACCUCUCCUCCCUGUGUUGCCAGCUUCCUGACCCUUGAACUAUGGAAACAUGGCUCCUCCCUAGGUCUGCAGCUCCACGACCCUCAAACUAAAACAAGAUCUCUCCUCCCUGGGUCUGCAGCUCCACGACCCUCAAACUAAAACAAGAUCUCUCCUCCCUGUGUCAUCAGCUUCCAGUCCCUCAAAUAACAACAUUGCUCCUCCCUGGGUCUGCAGCUCCACGACCCUCAAACUAAAACAAGACCUCUCCUCUCUAGGUCUGCAGCUUCCAGUCCCUCAAAUAACAACAUUGCUCCUCCCUGGAUCUGCAGCUCCAUGACUCUCAGACUACAACAAGAUCUCUCCUCCCUGGGUCACCAGCUUCCGGACCCUCGAACUACGAAAACAUUGCUCCUCCCUGGGUCUCCAGCUCCAUGACCCUCAAACUAAAACAAGAUCUCUCCUCCCUGUGUCAUCAGCUUCCAGUCCCUCAAAUAACAACAUUGCUCCUCCCUGGGUCUGCAGCUCCACGACCCUUAAACUAGAACAAGACCUCUCCUCACUGUGUCGCCAGCUUCCGGACCCUUGAACUAUGAAAACAUUGCUCCUCCCUGGGUCCGCAGCUCCACGACCCUCAAACUAAAACAAGAUCUCUCCUCCCUAGGUCUGCAGCUUCCAGUCCCUCAAAUAACAACAUUGCUCCUCCCUGGAUCUGCAGCUCCACGACCCUCAGACUAGAACAAGACCUCUCCUCCCUGAGUCACCAGCUUCCGAACCUUCGAACUAAAACAACAUUGCUCCUCCCUGGGUCCGCAGCUCCAUGACCCUCAAACUAGAACAAGACCUCUCCUCCCUAGGUCUGCAGCUUCCAGUCCCCAAAUAACAACAUUGCUCCUCCCUGGAUCUGCAGCUCCACGACCCUCAGACUAGAACAAGAUCUCUCCUCCCUGGGUCACCAGCUUCCGGACCCUGGAACUACAAAAACAUUGCUCCUCCCUGGGUCUGCAGCUCCACAACCCUCAAACUAAAACAAGAUCUCUCCUCCCUGUGUUGCCAGCUUCCGGACCCUCGAACUAUGACAACAUUGCUCCUCCCUGGGUCUGCAGCUCCACGACCCUCAAAGCAGAUCAAGAUCUCUCCUUCCUGUGUCAUCAGCUUCCUGACCCUUGAACUAUGACAACAUUGCUCCUCCCUGGGUCUGCAGCUCCAUGACUCUCAAACUAGAACAGCAGCACCAGCUCCUUCCUGGACCUCCAGGUCAAUGACUCUCAGACUUCAAAGGCAGCAGCAGCUCCACCCCCAGGCUCCAGCUCUAAAACCCUCAGAUGUGAGCAGUGGCAGCACCAGCUCCUUUCUGCGUCUCCGGCUUCAUGAUCCUUAAAUUAGAACAGCAGCGCCAUCUUCUCCCUGCGUCUCCAGCUCCAGGAACCUCAAACUGCAACAGGAGCACCUGUUCCUCUGGGAUUUUCACCUCCACGACCCUGAGGUGUCAGUGGCAGCACUGGCUCCUCCCCUGGGCUGCAGCUCCAGAACCCUCAAGAAUAAUCCCUUCUCAUGAAAUGUAGCAGUCAGGAAAACUGCAGAGGAAGUAAAUAAAUAAAUGUUUUCUUUCAAA